GAUGAACGCUGGCGGCGUGCCUAAUACAUGCAAGUCGAGCGAAUGGAUUAAGAGCUUGCUCUUAUGAAGUUAGCGGCGGACGGGUGAGUAACACGUGGGUAACCUGCCCAUAAGACUGGGAUAACUCCGGGAAACCGGGGCUAAUACCGGAUAACAUUUUGAACCGCAUGGUUCGAAAUUGAAAGGCGGCUUCGGCUGUCACUUAUGGAUGGACCCGCGUCGCAUUAGCUAGUUGGUGAGGUAACGGCUCACCAAGGCAACGAUGCGUAGCCGACCUGGGAGGGUGAACGGCCACACUGGGAGUGAGACACGGCCCAGACUCGUACGGGAGGCAGCAGUAGGGAAUCUUCCGCAAUGGACGAAAGUCUGACGGAGCAACGCCGCGUGAGUGAUGAAGGCUUUCGGGUCGUAAAACUCUGUUGUUAGGGAAGAACAAGUGCUAGUUGAAUAAGCUGGCACCUUGACGGUACCUAACCAGAAAGCCACGGCUAACUACGUGCCAGCAGCCGCCGUAA
rnacentral:rRNA from 1 species